GAUGAACGCUGGCGGCGUGCCUAAUACAUGCAAGUCGAGCGAACAGACGAGGAGCUUGCUCCUCUGACGUUAGCGGCGGACGGGUGAGUAACACGUGGAUAACCUACCUAUAAGACUGGGAUAACUUCGGGAAACCGGAGCUAAUACCGGAUAAUAUAUUGAACCGCAUGGUUCAAUAGUGAAAGACGGUUUUGCUGUCACUUAUAGAUGGAUCCGCGCCGCAUUAGCUAGUUGGUAAGGUAACGGCUUACCAAGGCAACGAUGCGUAGCCGACCUGAGAGGGUGAUCGGCCACACUGGAACUGAGACGCGGUCCAGACUCCUACGGGAGGCAGCAGUAGGGAAUCUUCCGCAAUGGGCGAAAGCCUGACGGAGCAACGCCGCGUGAGUGAUGAAGGCCUUCGGAUCGUAAAACUCUGUUAUUAGGGAAGAACAAAUGUGUAAGUAACUAUGCACGUCUUGACGGUACCUAAUCAGAAAGCCACGGCUAACUACGUG
rnacentral:rRNA from 1 species